GGCACAAGCUCCUUUUGUCUGGGCACCCCCUCCCCCCCGCCACCACCCCGGACGCCCGGCCGAGCGGCCCGAUUCCCUUCGGAGGAGCGGGGUAGGGGCGAGCGAGCCCGAAGAAGAAUGGAAACCCUCCCUCCGCGCGCCCCCUCCUCUCCUCCGGCCGCUCCCUCCCCCAGUCUCGGGAAAACAGGCGGCUACUGUUCUGGGAUCAAGACCCCGGGGAGGAGCCGGCCGGCCGGCCCUCUCCCCACUUCCCUCCACCCCCGGCUGCCUCCUCGAGCAUUCUCUUCCCACCCUCACUCCCGGGGUCCCCCCACGCGCCGGGGAAACGCACUCUCCAGCAGCGACUACCCGACCCCCUCCGCCCCCGGCCCGCGCCCAGAGGGUUUUCAAACCGGGAGCUUCAGCCCAAGUAACCUGGAUGAUGGGAAAAUCACGUGGAAACCGCUUUAACCCUUUGAUGGUUAGAAAGACGGUGUAGCCAGAAAGGAGAGGAGGCGCGUUCCCCACCCGGAGGUCCCAGCCUAGAUAUCGGAAGCUGCUCUUCAGACCCAGCCCUCCUGCCCUCACUUGCACUGUGCUUCAGGACCCAACUCUUGUCCUUGCCAAACUCCUACUAGGAUCCCGAAGCCCAGGACAGAGCCUGAGGCCAGAAAGGGAGGGGAAGAAUUAAGAAAAUCCCUUUCAGGGGGCUUCCCUGGUGGUUCAGUGGCUGAGACUCCGUGCUCCCAAUGCCUGGCUUCCAUCCCUGGUCAGCGAACUAGAUCCCACAUGCCGCACCUAAGACCUGGUACAAUCAAAUAAAUAUUUUUUACAAGAGAA
ensembl:lncRNA